rnacentral:rRNA from 1 species
UGGGGAAUAUUGCACAAUGGGGGAAACCCUGAUGCAGCCAUGCCGCGUGUGUGAAGAAGGCCUUCGGGUUGUAAAGCACUUUCAGUCGUGAGGAAGGUUUAGUAGUUAAUACCUGCUAGAUUUGACGUUAGCGACAGAAGAAGCACCGGCUAACUCCGUGCCAGCAGCCGCGGUAAUACGGAGGGUGCGAGCGUUAAUCGGAAUUACUGGGCGUAAAGCGUACGCAGGCGGCCAUUUAAGUCAGAUGUGAAAGCCCCGGGCUCAACCUGGGAACUGCAUUUGAAACUGAAUGGCUAGAGUGCGACAGAGGGUGGUAGAAUUUCAGGUGUAGCGGUGAAAUGCGUAGAGAUCUGAAGGAAUACCAAUGGCGAAGGCAGCCACCUGGGUCGACACUGACGCUCAUGUACGAAAGCGUGGGUAGCAAACAGGAUUAGAUACCCCCGUAGUCC